rnacentral:snRNA from 1 species
AUCUAAUUUUUGUGGAGAUCUAAUAAAAUUGGAAUGAUACAGAGAAGAUUAAUAUGGCUACGAUGGAAGGACGAUAGAGGGCAAGGAUGUCUCAUAAAUUGAGAAAUGGUCCAAAUUUUU